AGAGUAAUGAAAGACAAGACGGCGUGCAA
rnacentral:sRNA from 1 species